rnacentral:sRNA from 1 species
UAUAGAAAUCUGGGUUGAUCAGUGGUUUUUUUGUUUUUGUUUUUUUGGUUUUUCCUUUCAAUAAUUGAAAUACGUUGUCUGCUGUUUGCUGGCUUGCAUUGUUUUUGACAAGAAUUCUGCUAUUAUCUCUGUUCCUCAAUAUGUGAUAUGUCUUUUUUUCUGUGGCUCCUUUUAAGGUUUUCUUUUUAUCAUUUGUUUUAAGCAGUUUGAUUGAUGUGGCUUUUUUAUAUUUUUCUUCUUUUUUGUGUGUGUGUGUAGUUCUUUGAGCUUUUUGGAUCUGUAGGUUAUGAUUUGCAUCAAAUUUAGAAAAUUGUAGUUCUUUUUUUUUUCAAAUAUUUCCCUUCCCCAAUUCUAAUUUUAUGAAUAUUAUGACCGUUGAAGGUAUCUCACCAUUCACCAAUGCUCCGUUCUUUAUUUUUUUCAGUCUUUUUCUCUUUGUGUUUUAGUUUGAAAGUUUUCUGUUUUGUCUUCAAGUUCACUAAUCUGUUCUUCUGAAAUGUCUAAUCUGUUAAUCCCAUCCAAUGUAUUUUUAUCUCUGAUACUGUAUUUUUCACCUCUAGAUGUUCAGUUUGGGAGUUUUAAGAUAGUCUCCAAUGUGUCUUUACAUGCUCAUGCUUUUCUCUAUCUCUGGAACAUGGAGCAUAUAUAAUAGCUCUUUUAAUAUCCUCAUCUGCUAAUGUUAUCCUAUGUCAUAUAUGGGUCUUUUUAUGUUGAUUGACAUUAUGGAUCAUAUUUUACCUGCCUGAAUUUUUUUUAUUGGAUGCCAGACAUUGUGUUACAUUGUUUGGUGCUGGGGUUUUUUGUUGUUAUUAUUCACUUAAAUAUUUUUGAGCUUUAUUCUGGGAUGUAGUUAAGCUAUUGGAAACAAUGUGAUAUUUUCAAGGCUUGCUUUUAAACUUCAUUAGGCAGGACCUGGACAGCCUUUAGUUUUCUUAUUUUUCUCCACCACUGAGAAAAUACUGUUCUAAGUACUCACUGCAGCGUCCCAUGUAUUAUGAGGUUUCUCUGUUCUACCUGUUGGCAGUGUAAGGAAUUCCCAGACCUAGGGAGCUCUGAGACUUGUCCUGCUGACUCCUUCCAGUGUUUCUUUUACUGGCCAUAGGUCAUUUCUUUACAUGCAGCUGAAGAUUUAAGGGAAAACUCCUUAUAUAUUCUAGAAGUGUCUCUCUCUCUCUCUCUCACUCUAUCUUUAUAGCUCUCUUCUCUCCUAAUCUCUGCCUACAAAUUCUAGCUACCUUGUUGGCCUCCCACUCUCAGCUCUGUCUCCGCAACUCAGUGAGGCCAGCAGGCUCUGUUAGGGAUCUCUCUCCCUGCACUGUGGCCUGGAAACUCUCUACAGACAGUACUGGGGCAAUAAAUAGCAGGGCUCACCUUAUUUGUUUCCCUUCUCUCGGUCAUUAUUGCCCAAGGCAGCCUGUUGUCCAGAGUCUGAGAACCAUUGUUUCAUAUAUGUUAUCCAGUUUCUCAGGUAUGUAUAGGGCUGAACAAUAAAUCGAAUCCAUUACUCUCAUGGUCAGAAAUGCAAACCCUCACAUUGAAUUGUAUGAAUUAACAGUCUUUCCCACUCAUAUAAGUCCAUCUGCUCCCUCAUCACCUCCAACUCAAGGGUAAUUGGUGUAUUCAUUUUACCCCUUUUCUGAGCCUGCACAUGUGCAUGAGUACACAGAGACUGCAUUUGGUUUUGUUUUCAGAAAAUGGGAUUUAUAUAUAUAUAUACACAAUUUGUUUUCAUAAUGUAUCACUUUCUAACAUUAUGUCAUAUUUAUGUGUGGUAAUCAAUAAAAUUUAAGUUUCUUGAGGAUGGGAACUGUAGCAACCAUAUCCAUUUUCUCUUCAUGACACCUCAUAUACUUCUGUACAUGAGGAUUCUCAGUAAAUGCUCAUAGGUUGACUAUAGCAAAUCUUUUUUACUCAGUUUUUAUAAAAUCGAGACAGCAAUAUAGAGGAAUAUCUUAAAGAUAGUUUUUAUGUGUUAAAGUAAUGAUUUGUUAUCGUCCCUGUUCCACUAAUAUAGUAAGAAUGAAAAUAAUUGCCUUUCAUUUUAUUUCAGAGUAAUAUCUGAGGAAAUCACGGGAGCUCACUAGUAUGGAAGUUAUUGUAACUGCAAAACAAACUUUUUAGGAAAUGAAGGAUAUUAACACAUCUUUCGAGAUUUAUAGUCUAAUGCCAAGUGAAUUAGCCGAAAAGAAAUAGAGCCACAAUACUUGGAAAUAGCUUGAUUGAGAAGUUAAACAUUUACUUAAUCUCACCUUAGCUGAUUAGAAAAAAAAUCACUUUGAUUUUAGGCAAUAUAUGCUUAUUAAUGGUCUUUAGAAACUACCUUUAGUUGAUCUGACCUAGAGAACAAACAGGGCUCUUUUUAGCUUAUUGGAGGCCAUACUUAAGUCAGAAGACCCAGAGUCAAGUUGCUGCCCUGUCAUUGACUAGCUGUGCAAUCCACUUACAGAUUCCUGUGUCCUCCUAUUUCAUAGGGUUGUCUGAAUUAGUUACAUUAAAAUGUUUUAUAAAUAAUUAAGUGCUGGUCCAUUGUAAGAUACUAUCAUUAUUUGCUUGAAGUAGUUAAGGGAAUGAGACUCACCUAAACUCAUAUUUUUACCUAGGGAUUAUUUUUAUAAUGCAUUUGUUGCUAUUUAGUUACAAGCAUUAAAUUAGUCACAGGCUAGGCGUGGUAGCUCACACCUGUAAUUCCAGCAUUUUGGGGGAGGUCUAGGCGUGAGUAUACUUGAGGACAGGAGUUUGAGACCAGCCUGAGCAGCAUAGCAAGACCCCUUUCUACAAAAAUAAAAAAUCACCACUUUGAUUUAAAUCUCAGCACUUUGGGAGGCUGAGGCAGGUGGAUGCCUUGAGGUCAACAUGGUAAAACCCUGUCUCUACUAAAAAUACAAAAAUUAGCUGGGCGUGUUGGUGUACACCUGUAAUCCCAGCUACUCAGGAGGCUGAGGCAGGAGAGUUGCUUGAACUUGGGAGGAAGAGGCUGCAGUAAGCCAAGAUUGCGCCACUGCACACUAGCCUGGGCAACAAAGCGAGACCUCUUUUCUAAAUAAAUAAGUAAAUAUUGCCACACAUGUUGGCAUGUGCCUCUGUAGUCCUAGCUACUCAGGAGGCUGAGGUGGGAGGAUCUUUUGAGCCCAGGAGUUCUAGGCUGUAUUGUGCUAUGAUCCCGCCAGUGCAUUCCUUGGAUGACAGAGGAAGACUCUAUCUCUAAAAAUAAUUAACAAUUUAAGCAUAAAAUAGCAUUUCAAAGUCACUUCUAGUUUAAAUAGCAGCAUGGAACGAAAACCGGGAUAAUAGGAGAACUGUCUUUAUGCAGUUUAUCCAGUAGGUGGAGGUAUAUGUCUGUUAUGUUUGUUAGUAUAUGUUCCUUAGUAUAUGUUCACCUUCAGCCUGUUGAGAGAAAAAUUAUGAAAAGUACACAAGCAAAAUAUUUCCCCUAAGACCUGGCAUGAUCAAUUUUGUUUUACUUUAAAAAUAAAAAUUAAUAUAUUUAAAUAGUUGGUAAUUCCACAGGACUAGAGUUACUAAUUUAUUAAUAGGAUAAAUUGUCUCACUGGAUUUGAAACCUUUUACCCAAAUGCCAAGUUAGCCCUCUUGUUAAGUUCUUAAAUCAUCUUAAAAUCAUUUCUAUAUUAAAUAUUUUUCUUUUAUAAACUUUUGAUAAAAAUGUGCGGCAUCUUAAUAGUUUUCCAAAUUAUGAUUAUUUUCUUAAAAAUUAAUCCUUAUUGUCAUACUUUACAGAUGUAAUUUAAGGCCUAGAGCAAAGAACAAAAACAUGUUUAAGUGGAGAAAUUUAGCCCUGACCUCUAUUGAUUUGAAGUACCAAUUUGUUGUUGUUUUUUUAAAGAUAUUUCAAGGAAACAAAGAUUAUCACCAGGAUGUGCGUAAUAACUUUUUACCACCAAUUAUUGCACGUUUUAUUAGAGUGAAUCCUACCCAAUGGCAGCAGAAAAUUGCCAUGAAAAUGGAGCUGCUCGGAUGUCAGUUUAUUCCUAAAGGUCGUUCUCCAAAACUUACUCAACCUCCACCUCCUCGGAACAGCAAUGACCUCAAAAACACUACAGCCCCUCCAAAAAUAGCCAAAGGUCGUGCCCCAAAAUUUACGCAACCACUACAACCUCGCAGUAGCAAUGAAUUUCCUGCACAGACAGAACAAACAACUGCCAGUCCUGAUAUCAAAAAUACUACCGUAACUCCAAAUGUAACCAAAGAUGUAGCGCUGGCUGCAGUUCUUGUCCCUGUACUGGUCAUGGUCCUCACUACUCUCAUUCUCAUAUUAGUGUGUGCUUGGCACUGGAGAAACAGGUUAGUACAUAACUAGUUCACCUGAGUCCAAAACUACCAAAUGUGAAGUAGAAGCUAAAUAUAGAAGAUGAACUACACACAAAAUGUUUACCUGUUUGAGAGUGAGAGUUAAGGUAGUUAUUAAAAUGAAAAUUUCAUGCUUCUCCUUUAUUCCCAUUAAAAAUAAGUAAGUUCAAUUCC